UCCAAGUUCUCGAGCCUAGCUCUAGGGCUUCAUCGCACUCACAAUCUUCCAUGAUUUAUUUGACGAUAAAGAAAUAUAAAAGAAACAGUUAUAAAAUGUUUAGGGAAUCGUUAGCAUCGUUAGUCAGUGUUUGAGGUUAUGUUUUGGGUGAACUCCGUGUGUCAAACAUCAAACAAGAAUCACCGCAUUCUCUUUGCUGAGGCUUUGUUGGGCUUUGUUUUGGAGUGGAAUUGUUACUAGAUGAUGGAUAUGGAGGCUGAGGAUGUUGACGACCCACAGCCGGGGACUUCCGUCGGCAAAAAUCCAGAUUCAAUUGAACAAAAGAUAAUCAACCUAGCGCAGGCGAACCCCACAGGUCUGACCGACGCAGACAUCUCCCAAGAAUUUCCCACCCUGGAGCCUGCCCAGAAAGCCUCAGCCCUCAACAAGCUCCUCAAGCAGGGUCAGAUAGUAGUCCUGCGGAAGGGAACCAGCUUAUUGUACCGACUGAAACUCUCUACCACCAAAGGCGCCGACAACGAGGAGAGGAUCGUCUACUCCAUCAUCGAGGCAGCUGGCAACAAAGGGAUCUGGAGCAGGGACGUCAGAUGGAAGGCGAACCUCCCAGUGACCCAGACGGGAAAAAUAAUCAAGAGUCUCGAGAGCAAGAAACUGAUAAAAGCUGUCAAGUCAGUGGCUGCUGGCAGAAAGGUAGUCUACAUGCUCUACAAUCAGGUCCCUGACAGAUCUGUCACUGGAGGCGCCUGGUACCAGGAUCAGGACUUCGAGGCGGAGUUCGUGGAUGUUCUGAAUCAGCAGUGCUACAGGUUCCUUGAGCUCAAGAGGGAGGAGAUGAAGGGCUCCAGGGGAGGGCCCAUCGCUGCUAGGAACGUCACCUUCGCGUCCUCCAAGGAAGUCUGGAAAUUCAUUUCUGAUCUGGGGAUCAGCAAGGUCAAACUCUCCGUUGAGGACUUGGAGAUGAUACUUGAUACUCUGGUUUAUGAUGGAAAGGUCGAGAGGAUUGUCGCGGGAGAUGGCAACACUCUUUAUCGAGCUAUUACGCCUAUUGUUAAGGCACCGGGGCUUAUCAUCACACCUUGUGGACUUUGUCCUGUGCGGAAAAAUUGCUGCGACCUCGGGGACGUCACACCAGCGAAAUGCCAGUACUUAACUGAGUGGCUGGAGGCGUCCUAAUGAAAAAAAUUAAAAACAAACAAGCUUAUAACUCUACCUACAACUUUUCAAUAAAGCUCAAAUUUGCACGAUGUGUUCCCUUUCCACUCCCCAACUCUCUGCACCACAUUCGCCGAAGGGAAAGGAAAAAUCUGAUAACACUAUAGUUGAUUGUACUUUAUAAAGUAACAUCUUUCUCCCUGGACUUCUUCAUUUAAUUUUUUCGCAUGUUCGUCACAGUAUUGGU